rnacentral:rRNA from 1 species
GACGUAGGGUGCGAGCGUUGUCCGGAUUUAUUGGGCGUAAAGAGCUCGUAGGCGGUCUGUCGCGUCGGCUGUGAAAUCCCGAGGCUCAACCUCGGGUCUGCAGUCGAUACGGGCAAACUUGAGUGUUGCAGGGGAGACUGGAAUUCCUGGUGUAGCGGUGAAAUGCGCAGAUAUCAGGAGGAACACCGGUGGCGAAGGCGGGUCUCUGGGCAACAACUGACGCUGAGGAGCGAAAGCGUGGGGAGCGAACAGG